AAUGGUUUCUGCAUAUUUUUUUGAUUUUGUGACGGUAUCUGUACUGGUAUACACCAAACUGAAGGAGACAUGUUAAUUUGAAAGUUUUUUUUUUUUAUUUUGUACCGACAACCAAAAUCCAAUACUUUAUGUAAAAUGAAGCCAUUACAUGGUCAGCUUUAAUCAGUAUCAAUUUUCUUCAGUUCUGAUGAUUUGGGCCGACAUCUGUGAUAGUAUUAAAAAGGGAUACCAAAGCACAUAACCCCAUUGUACAGCGCUAUGGAAUCUGAUGGAGCAAUAUAAUAAUCCACUACAUGCAGUGGUUUCGGUGCAUAGAUUGAAUAAUUUCCUCGGACAAAAACAAACAUUACUAUUUGUGAGAAUUAACUUGUCUGACAACUAGGGACUAUCAUACUGAAUCAGUAGUGGGCUUGCUAAUUAAUGCUGUAUUGUUAAAUUAUCAGGUUCCAUUUUUAAAUUUAAAAUUCCCCUCCAUUUGCCUUUGGAAAUUCGCCAUACAUAAAAAGUAUGCACUAACAUGCAGCUUUUGUUCUUUGGCAAUAGGCACUACUUAAAAGGAACAAUCUGGGCACCUAUCUAACUAAAAAGGACACUCCAGCCCCCUAACGCACUUCAACUUGCUGAAGUGCGUGUUGUGUUUUUGAUUGAGAUAAAACGUAAACAAAACUUGGAAUUUGACCAUAUGUCUGUUCACCGGUAAUUCACCUCUCUCAUAUUAAAAAGCACCCACACUUAUUAUAUAUCAUUUUAUUCAGGAGAAAUAGUGCUUUCAUAUAACAUAUUUAGCUAUGAAAUAUAUGAAUAAAAUAUUAAAAGAAAUGUUAUUUUUAAUUCUGCAUGACAUUUUAACUGUGAAUGUCAUAAUACGUUAGCUUUUACUGCAAUAAAACACAUUUGUAUUCAGCGAUGUCUCGCGUGUAAAACAAUACCCCCCUCUGUCCAGGUUUUAUGGGGGUUUUGGGAAGUUACAUUUUUUCCACAUUGAAAUACGCCGGAUUGGUUACGUUGCCUUUGAGACCUUAUGAGAAUUACUCCCAUGAUGGCAUACCAUUUGCAAUAGUAGACAACCCUAGGUAUUGCACAUGGGAGAGUUUCCCAUUUUUUAGUAGCCACAAACACUGGCCAAAGUUAGCAUUAAUAUUUGUGUGCGAAAAACCAAUUUGAACCCCAAUUUUGGCUAGUGUUUGUGACUAAGUGGCUACUAAAAAGACUGGACAUACCCUAUUUGCAAUACCUUGGGUUGUCUACUUUUGCAAAUGGUAUGCCAGCAUAGGGGUAAGUCUCAUUCCUGGGCUACCAUACGGUCUCAAAGGCAACGUAACCAAUCUAGCUUAUUUCAAUGUGAAAAAAACCUGAAAAGCCUUAUAUUUGACGCUAAUGUACAGGGUUUUAUGGUGUGUUGGAAAGCAACAGGGUUAAAUAAAUAUAGUGCUAGCAAAUUAAAUUCUCUGGACGUUCUGGCAGGUCCCGCGAAUUGUAAUUAAGUCAUUUUAUUAAUUAUGUAAAAUCUUUACUUAAAUGUAUACGUAGAAUUAAAAUACACACUGUUCCAAGUAUUUUGAAGAAAAAAAAGUUAGAUUGUAUUUUGAGA
rnacentral:lncRNA from 1 species